rnacentral:rRNA from 1 species
CCUACGGGUGGCAGCAGUGAGGAAUAUUGGUCAAUGGGCGAGAGCCUGAACCAGCCAAGUCGCGUGAAGGAUGACGGCCCUACGGGUUGUAAACGUCUUUUGUCAGGGAGCAAGUGGGUCCACGCGUGGGCUUAGCGAGAGGACCUGAAGAAAAAGCAGCGGCUAACUCCGUGCCAGCAGCCGCGGUAAUACGGAGGAUGCGAGCGUUAUCCGGAUUUAUUGGGUUUAAAGGGUGCGUAGGCGGACUAUCAAGUCAGCGGUAAAAAUUCGGGGCUCAACCCCGUCGUGCCGUUGAAACUGCUGUUCUUGCGUGGGCGAUACGUAUGCGGCAUGCGUGGUGUAGCGG